UACGGGGGGGGCAAGCGUUGUUCGGAAUUACUGGGCGUAAAGGGCUCGUAGGCGGCCAACUAAGUCGGACGUGAAAUCCCCAGGCUCAACCUGGGAACUGCGUCCGAUACUGGAUGGCUUGAAUUCGGGAGAGGGAUGCAGAAUUCCAGGUGUAGCGGUGAAAUGCGUAGAUAUCUGGAGGAAUACCGGUGGCGAAGGCGGCAUCCUGGACCGACAUUGACGCUGAUGAGCGAAAGCGUGGGGAGCGAACAGG
rnacentral:rRNA from 1 species